CUGGUUCUUGCGUUCUCUACAUAGAGAUGUCGUGUGAGCAGGGGGAACCGGCGAGGGUCAUCCAAGGGGUCAGGUUUCGGCGGUGGGGGUCGACGAGGAGAAGUAGAGGACGUCGUCAGGUGGUCGUCGACAAACUCCGGACAGCGGUAAGGCUUUAAUGGCGAGCAGGGGCUCCCCCGGCGCUCUGGUCAGUGAGUAGUGAGGAGGAGGUGUGGGGAUCGAGCUCGAUGAUCGGGAACCGAAUCCCUAGGGCUCGGCGUUGGGUUUUAUAGAGAGAGGGAGGAGAGAGGGCGUUGGGUGAGGGAGAAACGGCCGACGACAACCAUCAAACUCCAUUGAUGGCGCUGCCGCAGUGAAGAGCGAGAGUGGGGAAGAGGAGAGGGAGACACACUGCGGUUUCUGGUGAGGGGAUGAGAG
rnacentral:lncRNA from 1 species